UCCGAGUAUUUUGCUUAGCUAGAAGAUUAAGUGCUAGAAGAUUGAGCUGUCUCAUUAGUGAUAAUCUCAACCACCGCCUGUACUCUUAUAAUACGGUUGAGCAUAUAUAUUGGGGUUCUAUAUCCACAGGUACCAUCUUCUGCCCAAGUAGCAGGUCCAUAAUAAUUAAUAAUGCGUUGGGGAGGCCACUCAUCAUCUUCCC